UACGGAGGGUCCAAGCGUUGUCCGGAAUUAUUGGGUUUAAAGGGUGCGUAGGCGGUUUUGUAAGUCAGAGGUGAAAUCCCACAGCUUAACUGUGGAACUGCCUUUGAUACUGCAGAACUUGAGUACAGUAGAGGUAGGCGGAAUUGAAGGUGUAGCGGUGAAAUGCAUAGAUAUCUUCAAGAACACCGAUUGCGAAGGCAGCUUACUGGACUGUAACUGACGCUGAGGCACGAAAGCAUGGGUAGCGAACAGGAUUAGAUACCCGUGUAGUCC
rnacentral:rRNA from 1 species